rnacentral:rRNA from 1 species
AGAGUUUGAUCAUGGCUCAGGAUGAACGUUGGCGGCGUGCCUAACACAUGCAAGUCGAACGAAGUUAUUUAGGAAAGUUCCUUCGGGAACCGGAAUCUUUAGCUUAGUGGCGGACGGGUGAGUAACGCGUGAGCAAUCUGCCUUUAAGAGGGGGAUAACAGUCGGAAACGACUGCUAAUACCGCAUAACGUAUAGAAUUCGCAUGAUUUCUAUACCAAAGGAGCAAUCCGCUUUUAGAUGAGCUCGCGUCUGAUUAGCUAGUUGGCGGGGUAACGGCCCACCAAGGCGACGAUCAGUAGCCGGACUGAGAGGUUGAACGGCCACAUUGGGACUGAGACACGGCCCAG